rnacentral:rRNA from 1 species
AGAGUUUGAUCAUGGCUCAGAUUGAACGCUGNCGGUAGGCUUAACACAUGCAAGUCGUGCGAGAAAGUAUCUUCGGAUAUGAGUAGAGCGGCGGACGGGUGAGUAACGCGUAGGAAUCUNCCUAGUAGAAGGGGAUAGCCCGGGGAAACCCGGAUUAAUACCGUAUACCUCCUUCGGGAGAAAGAAGNCCUCUCUUUGAAGCUUUCGCUAUUAGAUGAGCCUGCGUAAGAUUAGCUUGUUGGUGAGGUAAAGGCUCACCAAGGCGACGAUCUUUAGCUGGUCUGAGAGGACGAUCAGCCACAUUGGGACUGAGACACGGCCCAGACUCCUNCNNNAGNCAGCAGUGGGGAAUAUUGGACAAUGGGCGCAAGCCUGAUCCAGCCAUACCGCGUGUGUGAAGAAGNCCUUCGGGUUGUAAAGCACUUUAAGCAGGGAGAAAAAGUUAUAAGUUAAUACCUAUAACC